rnacentral:rRNA from 1 species
UACGGAGGGUGCAAGCGUUAAUCGGAUUUACUGGGCGUAAAGGGUGCGUAGGCGGAAAGGAAAGUCAAAUGUGAAAUUCCGGUACUCAAUACCGGAGCGGCAUUUGAAACUCCCUUUCUAGAGGGUAGAUGGAGAGAAUGGAAUUCCGUGUGUAGCGGUGAAAUGCGUAGAUAUACGGAAGAACACCUGUGGCGAAAGCGAUUCUCUAAUUUAUUUCUGACGCUGAGGCACGAGAGCGUGGGUAGCAAAC